rnacentral:rRNA from 1 species
UACUGCCAGACUUGGAACCGGGAGAGGUAAGAGGUACUACAGGGGUAGGAGUGAAAUCUUGUAAGUCCCUGUGGGACCACCUGUGGCGAAGGCGUCUUACCAGAACGGGUUCGACGGUGAGGACGAAAGCUGGGGGCACGAACCGGAUUAGAUACCCGGGUAGUCCCAGCCGUAAACGAUGCUCGCUAAGUGUCAGGCAUGGCGCGACCGUGUCUGGUGCCGCAGGGAAGCCGUGAAGCGAGCCACCUGGGAAGUACGGCCGCAAGGCUGAAACUUAAAGGAAUUGGCGGGGGGAGCACAACAACGGGUGGAAGGUCCUGCGGUUUAAUUGGACUUCAACGCCGGACAACUCACCGGGGGCGACAGCAAUAUGUAGGCCAAGCUGAAGACUUUGCCUGAAUCGCUGAGGGGAGGUGCAUGG